CAAGGCUUCCGCCGCGGGGAAUAUAUCCUCGCCUCCUCUGCGGCGUCGCCCUCCCCGGCCACGGCCCAGCCUUUCCGCUCCCUGCCCCCCUCCCAGACCACCAUCCUCGUCAUCGGCGCCACUGGCAACCUCGGUCGCUUCAUCGUCUACGAGCUGCUCCGCCGCGGCCACCAUGUUGUCGCUGUCGCCCGCCCCCGCAGCGGCGUCCGCGGCAAAAAAAACCCUGAGGAGGUUGUCUUCGACCUCGCCCCAGCCAGCGUCAUCUUGUUAGAUGUAACCGACCCGGGCGCCCUCCUCGCAGACCUAUCGCGAUACGGUCCCGUACACGCUGCGAUUUGUUGCCUCGCCAGCCGCAGCGGUGGGGUGCAGCACUCGUGGCGCGUUGACUGCCACGCCACGCUCCACACCCUCCAGGCCGCGCGCAGCCUUGGCGCUGCCCACUUCAUCCUCCUCUCCGUCGUCUGCCUCUAGAAGCCGCUCCUCGAGUUCCAGCGAGCCAAUCUCACGUUCGAGGACGAGUUUGCCGCCGAGGCGGCCUGGGACCCGGCCUUCACCUACAGCGUCAUCCACCCCACCACCUUCUUCAAGAGCCUCGGCUGCCAGGUCGAAACCGUCAAGGGCAAUCCCUACGUCAUGUUUGGCGACGGCAAGCUUUGUGCUUGCAAUCCUAUCAGCGAGGAGGAUCUCGCCUCCUUCACCGCGGAUUGCAUCUUCGACCAGGAAAAGGCUAACAAGGUUCUUCCAAUUGGAGGGCCGGGGAAGGCCCUCACGCCGCUGGAGCAAGGGGAGAUGUUGUUCCGGCUGCUCGGGUGCGAACCUAGGUUCAUCAAGGUGCCCAUUUAGAUCAUGGAUGGUGUCAUCUAGGUGCUCGAUGGAUUGGCCAAGGUGUUCCCGGGGCUGGAGGAUGUCGCCGAGUUCGGCAAAAUUGGGAGGUACUAUGCGUCGGAGAGCAUGCUAGUGCUCGAUCCCGAGACCGGGGAGUACAGCGACAAGAAGACGCCGAGCUAUGGCACAGACAUGCUCGAGCACUUCUUCGAUAAGGUGAUAAGGGAAGGAAUGGCGGGGCAGGAGCUAGGCGAGUAGACCAUCUUCUAG
rnacentral:rRNA from 1 species